rnacentral:rRNA from 1 species
UACGAAGGGGGCUAGCGUUGUUCGGAAUUACUGGGCGUAAAGCGCACGUAGGCGGAUCGAUCAGUCAGGGGUGAAAUCCCAGGGCUCAACCCUGGAACUGCCUUUGAUACUGUCGAUCUGGAGUAUGGAAGAGGUGAGUGGAAUUCCGAGUGUAGAGGUGAAAUUCGUAGAUAUUCGGAAGGAACACCAGUGGCGAAGGGCGGCUCACUGGUCCCAUUACUGACGCUGAGGUGCGAAAGCGUGGGGAG